UUUAAAAGUCUGUUAAUUACUUAACCUGGCCCAUGUAUGACUUUACAUAUCUGUGUAUUGGUUUCAUGUUCCUCUAGAAGGUCCAACUUGACACACAACUUGAAUCCAACCAGACUGAACACUGACUCCAGGGACAGACGAGCCUGAAGGACACAGCUGUGAUGACCAUGUUCUGUCUCUUAUGGCAAAGCAGAAAUAUAAAACACUGGGUUCUUAUCUAAAGUGUAUCAAAUCAGAUCUCCACCAUGUUGCUGCUGAGGACAUCAGGUGCUGCAGUUCUUCAUCUAUGAAGAGAAAAAACGCACUGUUAAAGAAUGUUUUGUGUUGUGUAUAAAGCACAACAGAUUUCAGAUAGAACUGUUGUACUGUGGUCUUGGUUUAUAUCCUCAUGGUGAAAUGUACAUAUUUUAAGUCCCUUCUGAUAAAAGUGCUGAAAGAAAUACAACAUUGUACAAAUACAUAAAAUGUCUUUCUACCUCAUCAGUACUAUUCAAGGUGAUAAUCUCCCACAGACCUAUUGAUAACAGUCCAAAUCAAGUCUUUCCACUUCUCUCAGUGUGAAAACAUAAUUCUAUAAUUAAUUUGAGAACUGUUUACAACACUGAUGUGUGGAGAUUAAAAUCAUACCUAAACUGUCUAAUUCACUGUAAAACUCCAUGACAUUCGCAGGCCAUCUGUAGUUAAGGGAGCAACGCAUGGAGUGAUGUGUAGAUUACUAGUUUGAUGAUGCAUGAGGAGAGGCGGUGGUCGAGUGGCAGAAACUUGGACUAUGGGCAGAGAAGGUCUCUGGUUCGUCUUUGGUUCGACUCCAUGGAGAGACAACAAAAGUCGAACCUGGAUUGAUCUGUCCAAAAAUCCAAGAGUCUCCCUACCCUCUCUAGUGCCCAUGAGCAAGGCACCUCACUCCCCCAACAUCUGCUCCCCCGAGCGCCGUACAUGGUCGCUCACUGCUCUGUGUGUCCUGCACCAGAUGGGUAAAAAGCAGCGAUUAAAUUUCCCUACCUGCAUGAGUGUGCCUUUGCAUGUCUGUGCAUGUGUUUGGGAUGAAUAAAUGGAUUUUAAUCUUAA